AACGAACGCUGGCGGCAUGCCUAACACAUGCAAGUCGAACGAUACCUUCGGGUAUAGUGGCGCACGGGUGAGUAACGCGUGGGAAUCUACCCAUUGGUCUGGAAUAACGUUGGGAAACUGACGCUAAUACCGGAUAUUCCCUUCGGGGGAAAGAUUUAUUGCCAAUGGAUGAGCCCGCGUCAGAUUAGUUAGUUGGUGGGGUAAUGGCUUACCAAGACGACGAUCUGUAGCUGGUCUGAGAGGACGAUCAGCCACACUGGGACUGAGACACGGCCCAGACUCCUACGGGAGGCAGCAGUGGGGAAUAUUGGACAAUGGGGGCAACCCUGAUCCAGCAAUGCCGCGUGAAUGAUGAAGGCCUUAGGGUUGUAAAGUUCUUUCGCACACGACGAUGAUGACGGUAGUGUGAGAAGAAGCCCCGGCAAACUUCGUGCCAGCAGCCGCCGUAACAC
rnacentral:rRNA from 1 species